rnacentral:lncRNA from 1 species
CUUGUCAUUUUCAAAUAGGUAAUUUGGUGGUAUUUAAUACUCCUCAUUCCUGUCUAUAUUGAAGAAAUAAUUCAACUCAACCAUUACUUCUUCUAAUACAUCAUAAUCAUGAGAAUUCAAUAUUCCCCCAUCCCAUUGCUGCUAGUCAUGGUGGUACUACUCGCCGCCAGCCACCGCUCGACUGGCCGAAACAUCCACAGAGCCGCCAUUCAUGCCACCACACAGAUACCUGUUUCAUGGUAUUCAUCAAUAGAAGCUCCCAAGAAAUCCAGAACUCUAGAGGAUGAUACGAGUUUCAGAGUUUCGGCUCGUAAAGUACCAGGAGGGUCAAACCCUCUACACAAUUAAGUAGCUUCUUUAUGGUUCCAACAGCUCUUGGAUCACACAAGAAGUUUUGCAAUCAACAGUGAGAACUUUAGCUCAGCUUUUCAAGUGCUCUUUUCCAUGUAGAAAUGUAUAUUAGAUGUUAAUAGAUUUUCUUGUUGGUUUUGGUUUGGUUGUAUACACAAGUCAAGGAUGCAUACAUGAUGAAUUAUGCAAGAUAUAGUCAAUUGUCUUACCUUCAAUAGAGAUUUCUUCUAAAUAUUGAUGAUAUUUUGGAAUAUUAUGAAAUAGUUUCUCUCCUUAAUAGCCAUGAUUUCGAUACAAGAUGCACUCACGGUUGAUAUGGGAAUAUUAGAAGAUGUUUCUUUCGUUGACAAUAGAAAUUUUACACUUAUAAUUUUGAUUUUGCCCUAAUUUGUUUUAUAAAUAGGAGCUCAUCAUCAGGAUUUUGUAUCAUCAUAAAUAAGGAGAGAA